CGUAAAGUGGGACGUCUUCUCAAUUCAGUGGUGAAAGACAACAUAGGUAGAUUUCAGUGCACGAAGUCCACUUACUGGAUUGACCAUAUGCAAGCUGCCUUUAUGCUGAAGGAUCCCACCCCAAAGUGGCUACUCAAGAGCCAUUACUCAAAGGGAAAACCCAAACUGAUGCUGCAUUGUUUGGAGGAAAUGGCAAAAAUGCCUACAGAAGGAUGGUCAGAAGAAGGAGAGCUAUGUAAAUGACACAUCAGCAGUUG